UUUCACUGAAAGUACAGUUACUCAAGCAAGUGGAAAGCAGUUCAAAAGGGUAAAGUUGCAGCUGGUCCUGAAGCUCAUUCUGAAGUUCAGCUCCCACACGUGCAAAUGGCACAACAGCACUAACCAGGCUCUGCAGAUACCUUGACUCGAGCAACAUUUUAAGACAACAGAACAGCUGAAAUCUGUAAAGGAGGUCAUGAAGAAAGGAUAUCUGGAGUCAACUUGGCUCACACAUCCUAGUCCAGAAGAGGCACUGAUUCAGCUGGAUGGGACACAGCACUCAUUGCUGGAGGCUCUGAAGUUUCCAAAGAGAUUAAGAUAACUUUGAUGACAUUUCUGGAGGAUGAAGAGCAGCAAUGAUAACUGAGACUAUACGUGUGAGUGCCAUUCAAAAGGGCUUAGGAAAUAUCAGUCACACCCUGAGGGUACAUCUAAUCUGGACUGCACUCCCUGCUCCUAGUCAAUACACAUUUCAUCAUGUCAUCCAAGCUGAUUGCCAAGAAUCCUUCCUACUGAAUCAUAUAUUUCUGAGCUGCCAUCACUCCAAACUGCAUGGCUGCCAUAUUCACAUCUACUGGUGUCAGCACUGCAAAAGGAGAUGAGAAAGAUCCUUAUCCCCAUUUGACAAGCCUCUCCUGGACCAGAACAGAAGCACAUGGAUCCUAUCCCUCCUUCUUCCCUCCUUUAGCAAAGUCGGACAUAACUGGAGCAGAAGCUUCAACAGACAUAGCAGCAGACUCCUGUUCAAGUGCUCUGAAGAAUGGGUAAGGAAAGUGAGAGUUCAUGUGGUACAAUAAAACAUAUCUGAGUGGCCACAGAGUGCAUGUUGUGAUUUGAGAGGUUUGUGGUUUUAAAUAAAGUAUAAAUGAGCAAUAAGAUUAGAAACUUCAUUUGUUAAAGUUUGCGUUUCCC
ensembl:lncRNA